rnacentral:rRNA from 1 species
CCUACGGGCGGCAGCAGUGAGGAAUAUUGGUCAAUGGGAGAGAUCCUGAACCAGCCAAGCCGCGUGAGGGAAGACGGCCCUAUGGGUUGUAAACCUCUUUUGUCGGGGAACAAAACCCGGGACGUGUCCCGGACUGCGUGUAUCCGAAGAAACAGCAUCGGCUAACUCCGUGCCAGCAGCCGCGGUAAUACGGAGGAGGCGAGCGUUAUCCGGAUUUAGUGGGUUUAAAGGGUGCGUAGGCGGUAUGUUAAGUCAGCGGUAAAAUUGCGGGGCUCAACCCCGUCGAGCCGUUGAAACUGGCAGACUGGAGUGGGCGAGAAGUACGCGGAAUGCGCGGUGUAGCGGUGAAAUGCAUAGAUAUCGCGCAGAACUCCGAUUGCGAAGGCAGCGUACCGGAGCCAGACUGACGCUGAGGCACGAAAGCGUGGGGAUCGAACAGGAUUAGAUACCCCAGUAGUC